AGAUUGAACGCUGGCGGCAUGCCUUACACAUGCAAGUCGAACGGCAGCACGGGAGCAAUCCUGGUGGCGAGUGGCGAACGGGUGAGUAAUAUAUCGGAACGUGCCCAGUAAUGGGGGAUAGCCCGGCGAAAGCCGGAUUAAUACCGCAUACGACCUAUGGGUGAAAGCGGGGGAUCGCAAGACCUCGCGUUAUUGGAGCGGCCGAUAUCAGAUUAGCUUGUUGGUGGGUAAAAGCCUACCAAGGCGACGAUCUGUAGCUGGUCUGAGAGGACGACCAGCCACACUGGGACUGAGACACGGCCCAGACUCCUACGGGAGGCAGCAGUGGGGAAUUUUGGACAAUGGGCGCAAGCCUGAUCCAGCCAUGCCGCGUGUGGGAAGAAGGCCUUCGGGUUGUAAACCACUUUUGUCAGGAAGAACGAGCCUUACGUAAUACCGGAGCCAAUGACGGUACCUGAAGAAUAAGCACCGGACUAACGUACGUCGACCAGCAGACCCG
rnacentral:rRNA from 1 species